rnacentral:rRNA from 1 species
GACGAACGCUGGCGGCGUGCUUAACACAUGCAAGUCGUACGGUAAGGCCCUUUCGGGGGUACACGAGUGGCGAACGGGUGCGUAACACGUGCGUAACCUGCCCACAACUUUGGGAUAACGCUAGGAAACUGGUGCUAAUACUGGAUAUGUGCUCCUGCUGCAUGGUGGGGGUUGGAAAGCUCCGGCGGGUGUGGCUGGACUCGCGGCCUAUCAGCUUGUUGGUGGGGUAGUGGCCUACCAAGGCGGCGACGGGUAGCCGGCCUGAGGGGGUGACCGGCCACACUGAGACCGAGGUACGGCCCCGACUCCGACGGGUGGCAGCAGGGGGGAAUAUUGCACGAGGGGCGCAAGCCUGAUGCAGCAAGGCCGCGUGCGGGAUGACGGCCUUCGGGUUGUAAACCGCUUGCAGCAGGGACGAAGCUUUUUGUGACGGUACCUGCAGAAGAAGCACCGGCUAACUACGUG